CGGCGUGCCUAAUACAUGCAAGUCGAGCGAACAGACGAGGAGCUUGCUCCUCUGACGUUAGCGGCGGACGGGUGAGUAACACGUGGAUAACCUACCUAUAAGACUGGGAUAACUUCGGGAAACCGGAGCUAAUACCGGAUAAUAUAUUGAACCGCAUGGUUCAAUAGUGAAAGACGGUUUUGCUGUCACUUAUAGAUGGAUCCGCGCCGCAUUAGCUAGUUGGUAAGGUAACGGCUUACCAAGGCAACGAUGCGUAGCCGACCUGAGAGGGUGAUCGGCCACACUGGAACUGAGACACGGUCCAGACUCCUACGGGAGGCAGCAGUAGGGAAUCUUCCGCAAUGGGCGAAAGCCUGACGGAGCAACGCCGCGUGAGUGAUGAAGGUCUUCGGAUCGUAAGACUCUGUUAUUAGGGAAGAACAAAUGUGUAAGUAACUAUGCACGUCUUGACGGUACCUAAUCAGAAAGCCACGGCUAACUACGUGCCAGCAGCCGCGGUAAUACGUAGGUGGCAAGCGUUAUCCGGAAUUAUUGGGCGUAAAGCGCGCGUAGGCGGUUUUUUAAGUCUGAUGUGAAAGCCCACGGCUCAACCGUGGAGGGUCAUUGGAAACUGGAAAACUUGAGUGCAGAAGAGGAAAGUGGAAUUCCAUGUGUAGCGGUGAAAUGCGCAGAGAUAUGGAGGAACACCAGUGGCGAAGGCGACUUUCUGGUCUGUAACUGACGCUGAUGUGCGAAAGCGUGGGGAUCAAA
rnacentral:rRNA from 1 species